CCUACGGGAGGCAGCAGUGAGGAAUAUUGGUCAAUGGACGAGAGUCUGAACCAGCCAAGUAGCGUGAAGGAUGACUGCCCUAUGGGUUGUAAACUUCUUUUAUAAAGGAAUAAAACGAGGCACGUGUGCCUUUUUGCAUGUACUUUAUGAAUAAGGAUCGGCUAACUCCGUGCCAGCAGCCGCGGUAAUACGGAGGAUCCGAGCGUUAUCCGGGUUUAUUGGGUUUAAAGGGAGCGUAGAUGGGUUGUUAAGUCAGUUGUGAAAGUUUGCGGCUCAACCGUAAAAUUGCAAUUGAUACUGGCAGUCGUGAGUACAGUUGAGGUAGGCGGAAUUCGUGGUGUAGCGGUGAAAUGCGUAGAUAUCACGAAGAACCCCGAUUGCGAAGGCAGCUUACUAAACUGUGACUGACAUUGAUGCUCGAAAGUGUGGGUAUCAAACAGGAUUAGAUACCCGUGUAGUC
rnacentral:rRNA from 1 species